CAGUAGCCGCGGGAAUACGAAGGGGGCUAGCGUUGUUCGGAAUCACUGGGCGUAAAGGGUGCGUAGGCGGGAUCUUAAGUCAGGGGUGAAAUCCCGAGGCUCAACUUCGGAACUGCCUUUGAUACUGGGGUCCUUGAGUCCGGAAGAGGUGAGUGGAACUGCGAGUGUAGAGGUGAAAUUCGUAGAUAUUCGCAAGAACACCGGUGGCGAAGGCGGCUCACUGGUCCGGAACUGACGCUGAGGCACGACAGCGUGGGGAGCAAACAGGAUUAGAUACCCGCGUAGUCCCUGUCUCUUAUAC
rnacentral:rRNA from 1 species